AAAUAACUACGAGUAAAAACUUAAAAUUUAAAAGACUUGACGGUAUCUCAAAACAACCUAGAGGAGCCUGUCCAAUAACCGAUACUCCACGAUUAACCCAACCCGCCCUAGCCUAACAGUCUAUAUACCGCCGUCGCCAGCCUACCUUGUGAAAGAAACAAAGUGAGCCAAAUAGCUACACACUAACACGACAGGUCGAGGUGUAACUUAUGGGCGGGUAAAAGAUGGGCUACAUUUUCUAAUACAGAAAAUACGAAUAAAUCUAUGAAAAGAAGCUUGAAGGAGGAUUUAGCAGUACAGUGGGAACAUCAUACCCAAUCGAAACUAAUGCAAUGAGGUGCGU
rnacentral:rRNA from 1 species